CUUGCUUUCAUUUUUUUUACCCGAAAAAGUCCUAUUGAUCUCUUGAGUACAUUGUUUGCACUAGUGGAGAUGGGCUGAUAGAAUUUUGCAUUCAGGAUUGGAUGUUUGAACCGAAUUAUUUUAUUAAAACCUAAAGGAAGUAGGGUAGCUAUUGAUUGUGCAUAAUUUUAUUUGAGUAUGAAUGAGUUUGGAAUAGUUAGCUUGUGGGUUUGCCUUUCGAUUUUGGGUUGAGGUGGUUAAGCCAUGGCAUUUGGGUAUUACUCCUUUGUGUCUAGAUGGAUUUUGAGUAUAUUAAUGUUAAAUAAAAUUUUAGCAUUAAUUUUUAUUUUAGAUUCUUCAUUUUUGAUUUGGACUUUUCUUUUGCUUGGGGACAACCAAAAACUUAGGUUUGGGGGUAUUUGAUGUAUUGCAUUUUUAUAGUAAUUAUUAUUAUUAGUUUUUAAUGAUUUUGAUGAAAUUGGUAUAAUAAUUAACUAAAUAAAUGUAAGAACC
rnacentral:lncRNA from 1 species